UACGGGGGGGCAAGCGUUGUUCGGAAUUACUGGGCGUAAAGGGCUCGUAGGCGGCCAACUAAGUCGGACGUGAAAUCCCCAGGCUCAACCUGGGAACUGCGUCCGAUACUGGAUGGCUUGAAUUCGGGAGAGGGAUGCAGAAUUCCAGGUGUAGCGGUGAAAUGCGUAGAUAUCUGGAGGAAUACCGGUGGCGAAGGCGGCAUCCUGGACCGACAUUGACGCUGAUGAGCGAAAGCUAGGGGAGCAAACGGGG
rnacentral:rRNA from 1 species